CACUCUCUCCAUCAACACCAUAGCAACCUACAGACAGAGAAAAUAAAGAGCAACUGAAUACAAAAGGAGGUACAAUUAUUUCAAAACAGACUUCAAGGGACACAUUUUCAACCCAGCACUAAACAGGCUUUAUGCAAGCACAACUCUGCACCCAGACAAAGGCAAAACAUAACUGAGAAUGUUUUGCAGAGAUUACUGUCUUUUCUUAUACAACCUAGCCAUUUAUGUAUGUCUGAGAGCAAUGGAACAGCUUAUGAGAGUGACUGAAUUGGUUGCAAGAAUAAACUCUUAUCUACAAAAACAGAUGAAAUCCCAGAAUAUUUGAAGACAAUUUGGUCAAGAGGAAAAGGGGAAGAGGAGGGAGUUUACAGCUGUAAAACAAAGAAAGAGAGAAUAGGGUGGGAGCAAAGCUGCUUCUGCAUGAAAGGAAAUGCAAUGGAAACAGACAGCAAAGUGGAAGGGAAGCACAAAGGAUGGAGAAGGAAGAGAAACCAGAAGAUAUAGUGAUGAUCUGAAAAGGCUAGUAUGUUUUUCCACUUAGUGACAUUUUAUGCAACAAUAAAAUUCUG